rnacentral:rRNA from 1 species
GAUGAACGCUGGCGGCGUGCCUAAUACAUGCAAGUCGAGCGAAUGGAUUAAGAGCUUGCUCUUAUGAAGUUAGCGGCGGACGGGUGAGUAACACGUGGGUAACCUGCCCAUAAGACUGGGAUAACUCCGGGAAACCGGGGCUAAUACCGGAUAACAUUUUGAACCGCAUGGUUCGAAAUUGAAAGGCGGCUGCGGCUGUCACUUAUGGAUGGACCCGGGUCGCAUUAGCUAGUUGGUGAGGGAACGGCUCACCAAGGCAACGAUGCGGAGCCGACCUGAGAGGUUGAUCGGCCACACUGGGACUGAGACACGGCCCAGACUCCUACGGGAGGCAGCAGUAGGGAAUCUUCCGCAAUGGACGAAAGUCUGACGGAGCAACGCCGCGUGAGUGAUGAAGGCUUUCGGGUCGUAAAACUCUGUUGUUAGGGAAGAACAAGUGCUAGUUGAAUAAGCUGGCACCUUGACGGUACCUAACCAGAAAGCCACGGCUAACUACGUGCCAGCAGCCGCGGUAA